UACGUAGGGGGCAAGCGUUGUCCGGAUUUAUUGGGCGUAAAGAGCGUGUAGGCGGCUAGAUAGGUCCGUUGUGAAAACUCGAGGCUCAACCUCGAGACGUCGGCGGAAACCAUCUGGCUAGAGUCCGGAAGAGGAGAGUGGAAUUCCUGGUGUAGCGGUGAAAUGCGCAGAUAUCAGGAAGAACACCCGUGGCGAAGGCGGCUCUCUGGGACGGUACUGACGCUGAUGUGCGAAAGCGUGGGGAGCAAACAGG
rnacentral:rRNA from 1 species